UGGGGAAUAUUGCACAAUGGGGGAAACCCUGAUGCAGCGACGCCGCGUGAAGGAAGAAGUAUCUCGGUAUGUAAACUUCUAUCAGCAGGGAAGAUAGUGACGGUACCUGACUAAGAAGCCCCGGCUAACUACGUGCCAGCAGCCGCGUAAU
rnacentral:rRNA from 1 species